GAUGAACGCUGGCGGCGUGCCUAAUACAUGCAAGUCGAGCGAACAGACGAGGAGCUUGCUCCUCUGACGUUAGCGGCGGACGGGUGAGUAACACGUGGAUAACCUACCUAUAAGACUGGGAUAACUUCGGGAAACCGGAGCUAAUACCGGAUAAUAUAUUGAACCGCAUGGUUCAAUAGUGAAAGACGGUUUUGCUGUCACUUAUAGAUGGAUCCGCGCCGCAUUAGCUAGUUGGUAAGGUAACGGCUUACCAAGGCGACGAUGGGUAGCCGACCUGAGAGGGGAAGCGGCCACCCGGAAACGGAGACACGGCCCAGCUCCCACGGGGGGGGCACGGUGGGAAAUUUUCCGAAAGGGGAAAAGGCCAGAGGGGAAACCCCCGGGGGGGUUAUAAGGGUUUUGGGUUGUAAAACCUCUUUAUUGGGGAAAAAACAAAUUUUUAGAAAACGUUGAAGGUUUGGAGGGACCCUAAUAGAAAGCCCCGGCCAACCUCGUG
rnacentral:rRNA from 1 species